rnacentral:rRNA from 1 species
UACAGGGGGGGCAAGCGUUGUCCGGAAUCAUUGGGCGUAAAGCGCGUGUAGGCGGUCCGGUAAGUCCGCUGUGAAAGUCGGGGGGCUCAACCCUCGGAUGCCGGUGGAUACUGUCGGGCUUGAGUACGGAAGAGGCGAGUGGAAUUCCUGGUGUAGCGGUGAAAUGCGCAGAUAUCAGGAGGAACACCAAUGCGAAGGCAGCUCGCUGGGACGUUACUGACGCUGAGACGCGAAAGCGUGGGGAGCAAACAGGAUAGAAACCCUA